GUUAUGAAAGUUCAAGACAUUAAUUGUGCGACAGUUUUGUUGUGACUACUUGCUUUCUAGAAAGUCACUCAUUCUAGGACUAUUCUAGUCCUGAUACGUUUAGCUUUUUAAUCUCUUGGUCUAGUCACUGUCUAAAAUAUUAUAGUCUGAUUAAAAACUUUAAUCCUAUUAUAUUUUAUAUAGAUGACUAGCUAAGGUCUUUCAUCUAUACUUUUGAAGACU
rnacentral:lncRNA from 1 species